GAUUUCUGGCGUGAUGCGCCUGGUCCGGCCGGCCUUUCUAGGUCGGUGCGAGUGCCGGCGCGCGUCUGCCAUCGUUCUAGAGCAACGGGCUCUGGGCCUUCACUGGUCUGGGGUUCGCGAUCUAGAUCCUUUACUGUGAACAAAUUAGAGUGUUUAAAGCAGGCUAUUGCUGUGAAUACGUUAGCAUGGAAUAAUAAUUUAGGACUUUGUUCCUAUUUUGUUGGUUUCUAGGAAUGGAGUAAUGAUUGAUAGGGACAGUUGGGGGUGCUCGUAUUCCGCGGCCAGAGGUGAAAUUCUUGGAUUCGCGGAAGACGAACUUAUGCGAAAGCAUU
rnacentral:rRNA from 1 species